rnacentral:rRNA from 1 species
AUGAACGCUGGCGGCGUGCCUAAUACAUGCAAGUCGAGCGAACAGACGAGGAGCUUGCUCCUUUGACGUUAGCGGCGGACGGGUGAGUAACACGUGGAUAACCUACCUAUAAGCCUGGGAUAACUUCGGGAAACCGGAGCUAAUACCGGAUAACAUGUUGAACCGCAUGGUUCAACAGUGAAAGACGGUCUUGCUGUCACUUAUAGCUGGAUCCGCGCCGCAUUAGCUAGUUGGUAAGGUAACGGCUUACCAAGGCAACGAUGCGUAGCCGACCUGAGAGGGUGAUCGGCCACACUGGAACUGAGACACGGUCCAGACUCCUACGGGAGGCAGCAGUAGGGAAUCUUCCGCAAAGGGCGAAAGCCUGACGGAGCAACGCCGCGUGAGUGAAGAAGGUCUUCGGAUCGUAAAACUCUGUUAUUAGGGAAGAACAAAUGUGUAAGUAACUAUGCACGUCUUGACGGUACCUACUCAGAAAGCCACGGCUAACUACGUG